rnacentral:sRNA from 14 species
CUGGGGAACUCGGGAGACCAAGAACGUUAGAAGAUGAAAGAAAAAAAUGCCAAUGAGG